GAGGCCCUGAGUUCAAACCCCAGUGUCACCAAAACAAGAACAACACACACACACGGUUGGGGGCGGGGAGAGAGGGAGAGAGAGAAUAGCUUGGCUUUUGGUCUCUGAAUCUCUUUUAGGGGGAAUGGAGACUGCCAGAUCUGGAGUCAGAAGGACUAGACCCAGAAUACUAACUUUUCUACUGAGCUGUGUCACCUCGAGGAACUUGCUUGUCCAUCCAUAAAAUGGGUGUAGUAAAGGUGGUACCUCCUCCUUGGGUGGCUGUAGAGUUUUUUUUUUUUUUUUAAUUUCUUUUAUUCAUAUGUGCAUACAAUGUUUGGGUCAUUUCUCUCCCCUUCCCUCUGCCCCCUCCCUUUCCCCCCACCCCUCUCCCAGCUGUAGAGUUAUGUGAGAUGAUGUAUACAAGGCCCAGAGCAAGGGCUCAGCGAAGAGGAGCAGCAGAAUGCUGGCCUGGUCUUCCUCUGCCAAGUGUGGAGCCAUCAGCAGUGUCCAGCCCUUCUAGGCCUGUCUGAAACCCUGCAGGGCCAGCUGUUCUCUUGCAACCUGCCCUGGGAACCAGAGUGCUGCUGUGAACAUUCCCAUUUCUGACUGGAAACACACAGACAGUGAUAUGAACCUAGGAGGGGAAUUGCUGGUUAAGUUGUUUUCCAAAUUGACUGAAGGAAAUCCUAUUGGAUCUGGAACAACCAUCACUGUGGGAAGAUCUCCAUCAGCGUUUCUGUGUAAACCCUUUCCUGUUUUUGUCUUGAAAGACCCUGUUUGGAAGAGUCAGGUAACAUCUAGAGAAAGCCUCCUGUAUUUGAUGACUCCUAUUUGGAGUGUGUGUGUGUGAGAAAUUAUUGCUACCAUUUUACAGAUCAGAGAACUGAGGCUCACACUGAUUGAGACUCGCCUAUGAUCACAUAGUAAAUAGCAGAGCUAGAGACUGAACUCCAUGCCACCUGGCUCCAGGGACACAGUUUCGUACCACACACUUCCUCGUAGUCUCCACAGUGUGCUCAGAGAUGACACCAUUUAAAAUUUUCCAGACCACAAUUUCCCCUCAAGCAUUCAGGCAAUUGUUUUCCUUCCAGACCCAACUGCUGAGACUCUCCUUGUCUCAUGCCUUUUCUCCAUUUCUCUGAGGUUUGCUAGCUCUUUCCCUGGCUCCUCUGCAGUCUGCAGGAGUUCAUUUUUCUCUCAUCUCUUUCCAGAUAUCAGGAUUUCCAAAUCUUUCAGUUGGUUUCUUUUUUUGGCUGUGGUCCUUUAUUUUUGGAUACUUUCCAAAGCAGCCACAGAUUGGAAGAUGAUAACAGUGAAUUAGUUAGUAGAUCUUCUUUGAUGUUAUUUUGUGGGGGAACUCAUUAAUUUAUGACAAAAACAUCAAAGAGCUGGGCUCCUGCAUGGGACUAGGUUGUCCCAAGGCAUCUGGAUAAUAAUGAUUAGUCAGAUUAAAUCUCAAAGGCCUCUCGGCCUCAAGAGUUACAGUCCAGAUGACUGGGGUGUGGGAACAUCCCACCCUAUAGCAUCCCAUACCAGCUUGAGUCAGCAUGGUAUGGAACUCCCCCCACUCUUCAUGGCUUCCACUUUGAUGCCUCCAAGACUUGAAGUCCAGUAAAGGUUGUUGUAACCACCCUGGGGGCAAGGUAGGGAAGGAGGCUGAAGCUGUUAAAGUCUCUUCUGUCAGUGGAGCCAGAUGUUAAAAUGAAGCCCUUGUCCUUGCAUAGGUGAUCUCAAUGCCUUUUAUAGCAUCCUUGUCCUGUAAUGACAAUGGGAAGACAUUUUCCUGGGCUACACAGGAAAGAGGCAGCACCAUACCUGGCAUUUGGCAAGCCUUCUAUUCAUACAGAUUU
rnacentral:lncRNA from 1 species